rnacentral:tmRNA from 1 species
GGGGGCGAACCGGGUUCGACCGGGCAAGUGAAGAUUAAGUUGCGUGUCGUGGUUGGUCAGCAGGCCACGUUAAAAGCCGACUACUAAAUUCAAAUGCCGAACCUAAAUUGGCAUUGGCUGCCUAAGAAAAGGCAACCCCGAAUUUAUGCUGCCGCCGAAGUGGUGUAACAUUCGGACGUAAUUUCGGAUCGUUUCCGUUCAUGUCGAUUACGGCGGGAACUAAAAAAGUUGUCGAACCGUUUGAGAAAGACCGUCGCCGAUAAGGGCUUGAUCAGAUUAAACAACAAAAAAUCGGAUACACACGUAGACGCUUAUUUGGAACAGUUUCGGGACGCGGGUUCAAUUCCCGCCGCCUCCACUU